GAGCACCGCUCAGACGAGAAGCUGGAGCUUUGUCAACGUUGAAAAAAAAACCGCAACACCGUAGCAAGUUGGCCAAAUUCGUCUCCGUUCGGUGAUAUUUGUUCCACCGUUGCUCGACAAACAAUAUCCGUGCCGUGGAUCGCGAGAAGCGAAAACUUUGAGAUAGUUUUGGAGGUUAGGUUGCAGGCCGCUGAAAACGUUUUGUUUGAGUUCCAAGCUCGAUUCCGAGCAAAUAGCUGCCUGGAUAUUGUUUCGCAGAGUUUGCUGGAGAAUGCUUUGCUUACGUCAGGCCGCCAAGCAAAAGCUGGAGCGAGGACUGGAGCAGGAGAUUGAUCGUUGGGAUGAGUGCCAUACAUGCGGGACCGGUACGAAAGCACAUAAACGAAAAGGAUUUUUCGAGUACAGAGAUGCCUACAAACCCAUUGCAUUAUCGGCUGGAUCCUGAAAUAACCUCUCUCCUUCUGGAGCUUCAGGAACCUCCUCUUCGCCAGCUCGGAAAGCGGAUAUGAAAAAACGCCGGAUGGCCAUAUAUCGAUGGGGUAGAAUCCGUAGUGAAAAUCAGUUAGCACCUAGUCCGGAGAUAGGAAAUCAGCUGAGUUUUGAUGUGUUUCUUCUCGCAGUUUAAUUACCGUGCAUUUAAAACAAUAUUUAAAAACCACUAUUUUUUAAACAUUUUAAAGUGUGGAUUCUUUUGUAUCUCGUCAGACUUUAUUGUGUUUGUAAAUUUCUUCAAUAUAUAAUUAUCAACAUAA